rnacentral:rRNA from 1 species
ACUUUCAACAACGGAUCUCUUGGCUCUGGCAUCGAUGAAGAACGCAGCGAAAUGCGAUAAGUAAUGUGAAUUGCAGAAUUCAGUGAAUCAUCGAAUCUUUGAACGCACAUUGCGCCCGCGAGUAUUCUCGCGGGCAUGCCUGUUCGAGCGUCAUUUCA